rnacentral:rRNA from 1 species
CCUACGGGUGGCAGCAGUGGGGGAUAUUGCACAAUGGGGGAAACCCUGAUGCAGCGACGCCGCGUGUGGGAAGACGGUCCUCUGGAUUGUAAACCACUGUUCCCAGGGACGAAGAUGACGGUACCUGGGGAGGAAGCUUCGGCUAACUACGUGCCAGCAGCCGCGGUAAUACGUAGGGCGCGAGCGUUGUCCGGAAUUACUGGGUGUAAGGGGACCGUAGGCGGGACUGCAAGUAGGGGGUAAAAUCUUCCGGCUCAACCGGUAGCCGCACUCGAAACUGGAGUUCUUGAGUGAAGUAGAGGCAGGCGGAAUUCCUGGUGUAGCGGUGAAAUGCGUAGAUAUUAGGAGGAACACCAGUGGCGAAGGCGGCCUGCUGGGCUGUUACUGACGCUGAGGCUCGAAAGUGUGGGGAGCAAACAGGAUUAGAUACCCUAGUAGUC